GAUGAACGCUGGCGGCGUGCCUAAUACAUGCAAGUCGAGCGAACAGACGAGGAGCUUGCUCCUCUGACGUUAGCGGCGGACGGGUGAGUAACACGUGGAUAACCUACCUAUAAGACUGGGAUAACUUCGGGAAACCGGAUCUAAUACCGGAUAAUAUAUUGAACCGCAUGGUUCAAUAGUGAAAGACGGUUUUGCUGGCACUUAUAGAUGGAUCCGCGCCGCAUUAGCUAGUUGGUAAGGUAACGGCUUACCAAGGCAACGAUGCGUAGCCGACCGGAGAGGGUGAUCGGCCACACUGGAACUGAGACACGGUCCAGACUCCUACGGGAGGCAGCAGUAGGGAAUCUUCCGCAAUGGGCGAAAGCCUGACGGAGCAACGCCGCGUGAGUGAUGAAGGUCUUCGGAUCGUAAAACUCUGUUAUUAGGGAAGAACAAAUGUGUAAGUAACUAUGCACGUCUUGACGGUACCUAAUCAGAAAGCCACGGCUAACUACGUG
rnacentral:rRNA from 1 species